rnacentral:rRNA from 1 species
UACGAGUGCCCCAAGCGCUAUCCGGAAUCAUUGGGCGUAAAGGGCGUGUAGGCGGGGUGGUUAGUCUUGUGUCAAAAUCUUGAGCUCAACUCAAGACUCGCAGAGGAAACGGCCACACUCGAGGGUGCGAGAGGUGAAUGGAACUCAUGGAGUAGGGGUGAAAUCCGUUGAUAUCAUGGGGAACACCGAAAGCGAAGGCAAUUCACUGGCGCACUCCUGACGCUGAAACACGAAAGCGUGGGUAGCGAACGGG